UUCUCAAUUUAAACUGCAUCCAUUCAUUAUCUUAGUUAGUUUUUAUAAUUUAGUAUGUGCCUUAUCUGUUUGCAUUCUCUCUUUUUAAACCUUCGGCGCUUCCGAGGUGGAGAUGUACGUGGUAUUUGUGCAUCUUCAUAUGGGUUGGACAAUAUAUGAAUACAAAAAUGCGAUUAGAAGCUUUGAGCAUUGGAGAGGUCUUAUCCUAGGCCUUGUUGAUUUAUAUCGAGUUGGUUGCUCUUCUUUGUGCACUGUGGAUAUGUUGAAAGAGAGAAGAACCACCGGCAGACAAUGUUUAGCAAAAAACGAUCACCUGCAGCAAAACUUUUGAUAGUUGUAGAGUUAGAAAUAUUUAUUGAUUGGGACACUGAACGUGUAUUUAUUGCUGAAAUAUGUUAUAGCAGAGAA